rnacentral:rRNA from 1 species
UCGAUGAAGAACGCAGCGAAAUGCGAUAAGUAAUGUGAAUUGCAGAAUUCAGUGAAUCAUCGAAUCUUUGAACGCACAUUGCGCCCGCUAGUAUUCUGGCGGGCAUGCCUGUCCGAGCGUCAUUU